CCUGUGCUCUGUUACAGGUGCCCAGAAUUUUCACACUUGAAAACUAGAAGUUAGUGUGCGACAUAUAGAAGUCUGACUGCGUACACACAUUCAAAUAACUGGGGAGAAUUCUUCCAGGCAAAUAGAAAAUAGAAGCAAUGCAAGAAACGGAUCUUUACAAAUCAGAAGUACUCAAGUAUAGAAAAUUGGUGACGGAGGCUGAAGACAUGACGGAAAAAUCUGGCUGGCAGGGUACAGGAAGGAAGGAAUUAUAGGAAGGAAUAAACAUAGGAUUUGUCUCAUGGACAAGACCAUUGAUUCACCUGGCAUGAAGCCCACAUCACUGGCCUCUCAUCAUGGACCUUGCCACACUGUGAAAAGUGCACAACCAUUAUGGUGCGGAGAAGAAUGAAGGGAAUGUACCCUUACUUCAACAACCUUUUUAACCUCUGCAGAUGUUACUUCCACUGUAGUUAAAUAUUCAUCUAUUUUCAUCUUGCUCCUGAGCAGUGCUUCUUCUUUGGUUGCAUUUCUGUUGUGCAAUAAAAUCCCUUCCUGACCUCUUCAGGUGAGCUUGAUUUGUAAGGUUUUGUUAUCCUUAGCUUAACAUGCAUAGCUACAAAGACCAUGAUUAUUUAGCCAGGUGCAGACACUGUGCCAGUCCAAUUCUG